CGUUCCCGGGCCUUGUACACACCGCCCGUUACACCAUGGGAGUUGGUUUUACCCGAAGACGGUGCGCUAACCGCAAGGAGGCAGCCGGCCACGGUAAGGUCAGCGACUGGGGUG
rnacentral:rRNA from 1 species